rnacentral:rRNA from 1 species
GCUGUUAAGGGUUCGUAGUUGGACUCGGGACGGGGAGAUUCGUGCACAACCGUGCUCGUUCGCCUCGCCCUGUCACAGACGGGGCUGCGUCCAGAUGGAGGCCUUCACUGGUCGCCGUCCCCGCAAGGGAACGAGUAAAACACACUCACCGGACCGCCCGUCGUUCUCACCGUGAAUAAACAGCGUGUUCAAAGCAGCCGUUCGGCCGCAUGACAAAGCAUGGAAUGACAGAGCAUCGCCAGCCGGUUGUGCUUUUGUUGGUUUUACUACCUAGUUGGGUAACUCGCGGCGUGUGGCGCCUUCGGGACGCCCACGCUCGCACGGGAUUAACGGGGGUUGUCGGGGGAAAACGUAUUUGGGCGUGGAGGUGAAAUUCUUAGACCGCCCAAGGACGAACUUAUGCGAAGGCAUUUUCCAGUAUACCUUCCUCAAUCAAGAACCAAAGUG